UGGUCCUGCGCUCGAUCACGAAUUCUCUCGCGUCUAUCACAGUGUUCGUGCGACAUUGGUUAACGACACCGCCCGUAUCGAGGCCCGUACAGAUGCCUCAGCCAUGCUCAGUAAUCGGUUGCAAGCCCAGUGAUCAGCGUGGGCGCGUUCGUCAUAGAUUGCCGAGAGACAAAGCGCAGCGCCUUGCCUGGCGUCAGUGCAUUGGCGUUCCGGUCACGCAGAAGCACGUGCUUGUCUGUGAUCGUCACUUCAAAGAGGAAGGUUAUAUUCACGACCCGCGCAUUCGACAUGGAAUGAGCACUGUUCUAAGGCCUGUGCUUCGCCCAGGUACUCUGCCGACACUCUUCCUUCCGAGCAGGCCACCUUCGCAGAAUGUGCCUGACCCAUGCAGCAAUACUCCUGACACAUCACAAACCUGCCAGACAUGCAGAUGCAGGCGAGCGGCACUGUCGUGCACAGCCAGUACCCAGACGACAUGGGAUGACUACCGCCAUCCUACAACUACAUCUGAGAAUGGCACGCAAACGCUGGCAAUGUAGCACCCAGCUGCUACCAUGACACCGCAGCAGGGAAUGCUGCUUCAAGAGAAGCAGCAGACAGAUAUAGGUGCUAACAAAUCGGACAUGACAGGGGAUGGUCU